UUCUCUCAGUCUCUCUCUCUCUCUCUUCCUCCCCGAGUUCACCUUCUUCUUCUUCCUCUACACACGGACACACAUACAAACCUAAUCAAAUCUUCACCAAACAAGAAACCAAGACCACCAUCGUGUUCGUGGAGCUGAGAGGAGUUCAAAGGUGCCAUUUUCAGGAGAUUCUAAGCUUGUAGAUGUGUUUGUGAGGUCCCAAGGAGCCUCGGAGUGGUUCGUUGGGUGAAUUUGGACGUCGGGAUCGUCCUGUACGAAGUUGGCCGAUUCUUGAAGUUGAAGACAGGUGAUUCGUUCUCCGAGGACGAGCGUACACACUCGAGGCAGGGGGGCUACGACCCUUCUAAUUAUCAGUGAGUGGGCUUUUGUUUUCCGUAUAUACCUAUAUACAUAUUAAUUCCCAGAAAUUAAAUAGAAAAGGUUAUUGUUUUAUGCCAUGCAUUAUAUGAAUGUUGUUUACGCAUCAUUGCAUGUAUUAUUGGUGACAUACAUACAUAUAUACCUGUGUAUUUGGUGCUGUGGAUGCACAGGUAAGUGCCAGGUAAGCGGUAUUCAGGUGGUUAUACAUUCCUGUUUAUUAUGCAAUAGUAGUUGAAAUGCUUAGAGAUCUCAUAAUCUGCACCCCCGGUGUUAGUGCUCCCGUCCAGGGCCAGGGCACAGCCUUCACGUGUAUGUUCACCAGCACCGCAUGCUCGUCUUGGAUCCAAGUUAGGUGCAAGCCUGUCGUAG